CUCAAAGAUUAAGCCAUGCAAGUGGUUAUUUAUAACCCGACAGUUUAAAUAAGUGUACAUUUUAUGAUAUGCAUUAGAUUUUUAUAAAUCAUGUGCAUAUAUGAUGAGGGAUCACAGUGAUGACUUAAGGAACCAUCACUUAUGCAACUGCAGACAGCUGUUUAAUACAGUCACACUUGUCUUGACUUGGCAAUAUAUAUGCGUGUGGGUGUGGGCACAGGCACACUCACACGCCUUUCUCUGUUAUCUAUACACAUUCAGAUAACUGCAUGGAUAACUCAGGGAAAGUUUGGCUAAUACGUACGGGUACGAUGCUUACAUGACACAUAUACAGGAAAGAGAAGCACACGUGAGCUGGGCACUCACAAUGACACAUACAUACAUGCACUCACACGUGAGCUGGGCACUCACGCGAGAGCUGUCACACACACACUACACAUUUACUACUCUCACACGUGAGACUAUGUGAACAACUAAGUUCUGUGCAGUAAGGCGGGGUAGACCUCGUGAGCUAGUAAACCGCGGUCAGUCACCAUCAUAGCAUCACGCCGAGAGCUGUAUCUGUGUUAUGUGUAUGUGAGAGCACUCACACGUGGGCUGNGCACUCACGCGAGAGUGUGUGCUGUGUAUUGUAUUGGUAUAUGCUGUGGGCACUGAAUAUCUCCGGGUAUUCGAUGCACACAUUACAGGCGGAUAUAGCAUAUACUAUAUACAUUACACAUAGCACAUGCACUCACACGUGAGGGCUAGCUGUGUUUGUGUCAUUAUUAUACACAGUGAGAGAGCUGUGCUGUGUAUAUAGCACAUGCUGUGUGCUGUGCGUGAGAACUGAAUUUAUUCGGGUCACACACAUAGCACACACUACAGGCGGACAUAGCAUGUAUUAUAUAUACGCACACGCUCUCACACUAUUACUCAGCGCUCAAUGGUGAUACAUUAUACGUACGAACGCAACAUGAGGGACAUUGAGCACGCAUUUCAUUAUGUGCGUGAUCCUCGGGUCACACACAUUAAUGAUUCGCAUAUGCUGAGCAGACUUUGCUAUACGCGAAGCAUCUACAGCAUCAAGUCACAGGGUUGGCAAGUGUAUUUUUGAACCUUCAAAGCAGUCACGCAUACGGAAGAGUAGUUUCUGAUCCCAUAGAAGGAGCACAGUACAUUGAGAGACCGCUCUUAGUUCUAAGGAACGCAGCAGGCGCGUAAAUUGCCCAAUGCUAGUACCCUAUAUUUAACCGUAUGGGCGAAAGUAUUGCGUGCAUAUUUACAUUACGCACAUUAGGUUUAUAUUAAAUCCAUGUGUGUAUUAUGAGAUGUUACACUAUGUUUAAAUUACUGUCACAUAUAUUGCCCAUCCUUGUUCACUCGUUGAACGAAAUAUGCUCGCAUAUUUUAUUCGCUCAGUUACAUUUUAAACUGAGGCAGUGACAAGCUGUAACGGUUGAGUAUUUAAAAUGACAAGUGUCUGGCAUUGCCGCUCUCUCGGGAGCUUGGCAAAUUGCCGACGCUUUGUGUGCUCAAUUGGAAUGCGGUGAGUAUAAGCCACUCAGAACCCAUUGAUUUUGUGCUGACAUGAGCAGUGCAUUUUCAAUUGUAUCUGAAUUUCAAGUGGAGGGCAAGUCUGGUGCCAGCAGCCGCGGUAACACCAGCUCCACUGGCCUAUACAAUCAUUGUUGCGGUUAAGAGGCUCGUAGUUGGAUUGAACUAACAUUAUACACACACACACUGUGAACAAAUCAGAGUGUAUCAAACAUGUACUUUCUUAGAAUGUGCACUGAAUGUCUUAUCAUGGGAUGUUGCCUACAUAUUCUAAGUGCAGACGAGAUACACUGUUUGGUUAAUAUUCAUAUAUACACACACUACAAUUAACAUCUCACGCUAUGCAAGUUAAAUAAUAUAUGUCGAUGGKGAUAGUUGGAGUCAACAGUAUUGCAGGGCGAGCGGUGAAAUGCGUUGACCCUUGUAAGACUACCAGAAGCGAAAGCGGUUGGCUAGGCUAUGCUCUUUGUGAUUUAUGAUGUGACGCACGCUUUAGGCACGCGCUUACUGCAGAAAUGUCUGAGACAUUVSCCUCCGGGGGUAGUAUGCACGCAAGUGUGAAACUUGAAGGAAUUGACGGAAGGGCACCACAAGAACGCGUGGAGCAUGUGGCUUAAUUUGACUCAACGCGGGAAAUCUUACCGGGUCCGGACACACUGAGGAUUGACAGACAUACACAAUGUGAGUGUGAGUGAGUGUAUUUAUACACACACCGACACUACGCAUGUGAUAAACAUGAUUGGCUCUUUCAUGAUUAUGUGAUAGGUGGUGCAUGGCCGUUCUUAGUUCGUGGAGUGAUUUGUCUGCUUAAUUGCGUUUCAAAUAAGAAUCACAUUAUAUUGUGUGUGUGAGUGUGUAUUUAUUUACACGCACGCGCGCAUAACAUGUAUUUUGUGAUAUCUAUGAAAGCAACGAACGUGACCGCAACCUCUAGUUAUGAUAAGCAUGGUAUCAUAACACUAGAGGGACCGCUGCUACUUUCAACUUUAACCAGGGGAAGGUUGCGGCAAUAACAGGUCUGUGAUGCCCUUAGAUGUUCCGGGCUGCACACGUGCUACAAUGAUCAUUGCAGUGCGUAUCUUCAAAUUAUUACACUGCUUGUGCUGGCACACGUGCUUGCACGCAGUAUGCAUUGCCUACUUCGAAAGUCGUGGGUAAUCAAUUUGAAGUAAUGAUAUAUUCCUUAUGCACAUUUAUAUACGGUGCAUGCAUAUGACACAUGAACGCGCUCGCGUGUGAUUGUAUUGUGUGCAUAAUCUGUAUGUGCAAUUGUCAAUUCAUGGUGGGGACAGAGUAUUGUUAAUUGUUGCUCUCGGUUUUAACUAGGAAUGCCUUGUACGGGUUGGUUUAACAAACCACCCGGAAUACGUCCCUGCCCUUUGUACACACCGCCCGUCGCUCUUACCGAUGGACUUCUCUGUGAGUUUGAGGGACUGUAAUGGAAACUCAAACGAACAGUGUGGUCUAAAGGAAAGAGAAGUCGUAACAAGGCAUCGGUAGGUGAACCUGCCGAUGGAUCAUUA
rnacentral:rRNA from 1 species